GAUGAACGCUGGCGGCGUGCCUAAUACAUGCAAGUCGAGCGAACGGGCGAGAAGCUUGCUUCUCUGAUGUUAGCGGCGGACGGGUGAGUAACACGUGGAUAACCUACCUAUAAGACUGGGAUAACUUCGGGAAACCGGAGCUAAUACCGGAUGAUAUUUUGAACCGCAUGGGUCAAAAGUGAAAGACGGUCUUGCUGUCACUUAUAGAUGGAUCCGCGCUGCAUUAGCUAGUUGGUAAGGUAACGGCUUACCAAGGCAACGAUGCAUAGCCGACCUGAGAGGGUGAUCGGCCACACUGGAACUGAGACACGGUCAAGACUCCUACGGGAGGCAGCAGUAGGGAAUCUUCCGCAAUGGGCGAAAGCCUGACGGAGCAACGCCGCGUGAGUGAUGAAGGUCUUCGGAUCGUAAAACUCUGUUAUUAGGGAAGAACAUAUGUGUAAGUAACUGUGCACAUCUUGACGGUACCUAAUCAGAAAGCCACGGCUAACUACGUG
rnacentral:rRNA from 1 species